rnacentral:snRNA from 1 species
AAACAAAAAACAGGAGAUAAUAUAAUCAAGAAGGUAGUUUUCUCAGAGUGAGGCUUACUUGUAUUCUAGGUGUGUUGGGUCCAGUGAUUUCCUAAAAUGUAGGAACUUGACUGCGUAAUUGUGAUAAUGGGGGACCACAUUCUUACUGUGGAAAGGGGACAACCAAGCGUGUCCUUU